rnacentral:rRNA from 1 species
AGUGAACGCUGGCGGCGUGCUUAACACAUGCAAGUCGAACGAGAACGGAAUAUAGCUUGCUAUAUUUGUCAGCUAAGUGGCGCACGGGUGAGUAAUGUAUAGAUAACCUGCCCUUAAGAAAGGAAUAACAGUUGGAAACGACUGCUAAUGCCCUAUAUGCCUUUAAUACAUAAGAAUGCAAGGGAAACGCUUUAGUGCUUAAGGAUGGGUCUGUAUGGUAUCAGCUUGUUGGUGAGGUAAUGGUUCACCAAGGCUAUGACGCCUAACUGGUUUGAGAGGAUGAUCAGUCACACUGGAACUGAGACACGGUCCAGACUCCUACGGGAGGCAGCAGUGGGGAAUAUUGCACAAUGGACGAAAGUCUGAUGCAGCAACGCCGCGUGGAGGAUGACACAUUUCGGUGCGUAAACUCCUUUUAUAUAGGAAGAUAAUGACGGUACUAUAUGAAUAAGCACCGGCUAACUCCGUGCCAGCCGCCGCAGUAAAAC